ACGCUAGCGGCAGGCUUAACACAUGCAAGUCGAGGGGUAACAUUGUGCUUGCACAGAUGACGACCGGCGCACGGGUGCGUAACGCGUAUAGAACCUACCUUUUACAGAGGAAUAGCCUUUAGAAAUGAAGAUUAAUGCCUCAUAGUAUUGUAGACUGGCAUCAGUUUAUAAUUAAAGAUUUAUCGGUAAAAGAUGGCUAUGCGUCCUAUUAGUUAGUUGGUAAGGUAACGGCUUACCAAGACAGCGAUAGGUAGGGGUCCUGAGAGGGAGAUCCCCCACACUGGUACUGAGACACGGACCAGACUCCUACGGGAGGCAGCAGUGAGGAAUAUUGGACAAUGGAGGAGACUCUGAUCCAGCCAUGCCGCGUGUAGGAAGAAUGCCCUAUGGGUUGUAAACUACUUUUAUACAGGAAGAAACACUGGUAUGUAUACCAGCUUGACGGUACUGUAAGAAUAAGGACCGG
rnacentral:rRNA from 1 species